GGCUACCGCUAUUGGAGUUCGAUUAAGCCAUGCGAGUCGAGAGUCUUAGGGACUCGGCGUACCGCUCAGUAACACGUGGGUAACCUGCCCUAUGCUGGGGAAUAACCUCGGGAAACUGAGAAUAAUACCCCAUAGUUCACCACGCCUGGAACGGUGGGUGGACCAAAGCUCCGGCGGCAUAGGAUGGGCCUGCGGCGUAUCAGGUUGUAGGGGGUGUAAUGUACCCUCUAGCCCUCUACGCGUACGGGUGUUGAGAGACAUCGCCCGGAGAUGGAUUCUGAGACACGAAUCCAGACCCUACGGGGUGCAGCAGGCGCGAAAACUUGGCAAUGCGAGAAAUCGUGACCAGGGAACUCCAAGUGCAUCGGGUAAGACCGAUGCUUUUCUUGACUCUUCAAAGGUCUUGGAAUAAGGGGUGGGUAAGGACGGUGCCAGCCGCCGCGGUAAUACCGGCGCCCCAAGUGGUAGUCGCUUUUAUUGGGCCUAAAACGUCCGUAGCCGGUCUGGUACAUUCGUGGGUAAAUCAACCAGCUCAACUGGUUGAAUUCUGCGAGCACGGCCAGACUUGGGACCGGGAGAGGUGUGGGGUACUCUCAGGGUAGGGGUAAAAUCCUGUCAUCCUGAGAGGACCACCUGUUGCGAAGGCGCCACACUAGAACGGAUCCGACGGUCAGGGACGAAGCCUAGGGGCACGAACCGGAUUAGAUACCCGGGUAGUCCUAGGUGUAAACGCUGUGGACUUGAUGUUGGGGGCGCUCCGAGCGCACUCAGUGUCGAAGCGAAGGUGAUAAGUCCACUGCCUGGGGAGUACGGUCGCAAGGCUGAAACUUAAAGGAAUGCUCUGAGGGGCACCGCAACCUGAGGAUUGUGCGGUUU
rnacentral:rRNA from 1 species